rnacentral:misc_RNA from 1 species
AAUGAUUCUCAUGAAAUAGAAGGCAAUACACAUAAAGAUUUAUCCCUCUCUUUGAUAUUCCAAUAGUUGGGUAUUACAGUUGCUUUGUUCUUGAUUCACAGCAUUUGAGAACAAGUGACCAACAAGUCUCAUCCUCGUAAAUACAGUCCCUGUUUACCUACGUUAUCCGUAGAAUAUUUCCCCUCAAGGGUUAUUACAGGUCAUUAUAGUGUAGUUAAAUACAACCCGGACUGACACACCACAAAUCCUACCUAGACUGAGGCUUACCCGUGGGGUCAGGCGAUCCAGGAUGUCAGUCGCACGGGCCCGCUUUAAUAACAUGCGCGAGUAGUGACUGCAGCCUGCGUCUUAGGGCGCUAGGCCUACGGGAGUUGGCAAGGCCCUUGCCUGUCCUGGUCGAUCCCUCCAUCCCAAAGCCUUCGCUUAGUUGAAGUAGACUUCGCUCUCCCUCCGUUAUAACUUGUCAUGUUCCCAUUAUUAAUGAGCCGAGCGAGGGGGUGGGCGACCUUCGCUCCAACAGAGGUAACCUGUGUUAGGCAAGAUCGUGUUGAAAUAUCAUAGAAUUCGAAGCACCACAAGUUAUCCCCAGAAGCACUCACAAAAUACUUCUGAGUCGCAUGUAUUGCAGCAACCUGAACCUAAGAGAUUUAAAAAAAAGGAAAUUAGGCAUUUUAAUAACAAGACUACUAAUUCUAGAAGACUCGAUGCUGGAUGAAUCAGAUGGAGCGAUCAUCAACUUGUCCUCCAAAGUAAUAAAAGAAGCUAAGAUAAACUCUUUCUUCACGAACAUUGCUAGUAACGUUUGUCUGAAAAUUUAUCCUAGUCAAACCCGGCAUUCACAAACACAUUUACAAAUGUUGCAGCUAUAUUCUGGCUUGUGGAAUCAAGAUUGGAGCUGGCACCACGACCAUCAAUCAUAUGGACCUACAUAUCAAUGCUAAAUGAUUAGAAAUGUUUCAAUGAAGGGGUAGUAAAUUAUUAACGCUAAAUGGCUACAACCCAGUGAAAUUAGAACCAGUUCUAUAGAACAUCAUUAGUUAAGGGGGUGUUUGGUUUGAGGAAUCACUUCAUCCAAAAUGAAGUGGUGCAUCAUGAUUCCAUUCCUCAAAUUUGGUGGGAUGACUAAUAUUAGUGCUAACUAACUAUAAGGAAUGAGGUGGCGAUGGAUCAACUCAUUCCAUUCCACAAACCAAACAAAAAAUAAUGAGUGAGAAGAUGAUGGACUAGCUCAUUUCUCAAACAAACACUCUAUAAGAGUUCAAUAUCAUGCACCAAAACCUUCCUUCAUCUGCGGUACUCACAUAAGCACCUCCACCAAUGACCAAUGCUAUCAUGGCCCCAGUUAAAAGCCUUAUCGGCCAUACUGAAAACAAACACCAAAAAACCAACUAAUGAAGCAAAACAUUGAAAACACAAACGAUGGGAAAUGAAAAAAUAGCAAAUAGUUCAUCAAGUCGCCUUUAUCUUCCUGCUUAAUUAAAUACAAUCUAUCAUUGAGACCUCACAAGAUCUUUCGCAGCAAAGAAUGCAUUAAGUUUUUCAGUUGAUUGGCAUUCCUGAAAAGAUGAUAUACUUUUCACAUGUUCAGGACUCCCUGAUCUUACCGCGUCUGUGACCCAGGUGAGGGUCUUGGAUCCGAACGAGAGGGGCAGCAUGGAGCGAGGCUUGGAGGCAGAGGAGGUGGAGGUCGUGGAGCGCAUGGUGGCAGACGAGCGCCUAGUCGAGUGGGAAGUCUCCCGCGAGGACGGUGGCGGCGGUGAGGUGGACACGGUUCUUGAAGCCGAACAAGAGAUCGAGGUUGAGGAGGCCAGCGUCGACGAUGACGGCUGGGAGGCCGUGGCGCGCGAGGGAGGCGGCGAGGCUGGCGGUUGUGGUGGUCUUUCCGACGCCGGCCUUGCUGGAGUCACUCAACUACAUCCGAGCGACGUGCCCUUGCGUCGGCCGAGCAAAAUGCAGCACGUCAUCAAAGAAGCACGAGGGGGUGGGGAGACGGAGGGGCAGGCGGGGCCAGAGGUGGAGGCGGCGUGCGCAGGCGGGGCCAGUUGGGAGAGAAUAGACGCUUUC